GAUGAACGCUGGCGGCGUGCCUAAUACAUGCAAGUCGAGCGAACAGACGAGGAGCUUGCUCCUCUGACGUUAGCGGCGGACGGGUGAGUAACACGUGGAUAACCUACCUAUAAGACUGGGAUAACUUCGGGAAACCGGAGAUAAUACCGGAUAAUAUAUUGAACCGCAUGGUUCAAUAGUGAAAGACGGUUUUGCUGUCACUUCUAGCUGGUUCCGCGCCGCAUUAGCUAGUUGGUAAGGUAACGGCUUACCAAGGUAACGAUGCGUAGCCGACCGGAGAGGGUGGUCGGCCACCCGGGAACUUAGACACGCUCCAGACUCCUACGGGAGGCAGCAGUAGGGAAUCGGCCGCAAUAGUCGAAAACCUUACGGAGCAACGCCGCGUCAGUUGUAGAGGUCUUCGGUUCGUGAUACUCUGUUACUGGUUGUGAACAAAUGUGUAAGGAACUGUGCACGUCUUGACGGUACCGAAUCAGAAAGCCACGGCUAACUACGUG
rnacentral:rRNA from 1 species